rnacentral:rRNA from 1 species
CGAAUGCGAUAAGUAAUGUGAAUUGCAGAAUUCAGUGAAUCAUCGAAUCUUUGAACGCACAUUGCGCCCAUUAGUAUUCUAGUGGGCAUGCCUGUUCGAGCGUCAUUUCGACCAUCAAGCCCCAGCUGCUUGGUUUUGGGAGCCUAUCUCUAGGGAUAGCUCCUCAAAUAGAGUGGCGGAGUCGUGCUGACCCAAGCGUAGUAAUUUUUCUCGCUUUCGGUGCCGGUGCUGACGUCCUGCCGUUAAACCCCCUAUUUUUUAAAGGUUGACCUCGGAUCAGGUAGGAAUACCCGCUGAACUUAAGCAUAUCAAUAAGCGGAGGAAGCACA